CCUACGGGAGGCAGCAGUGAGGAAUAUUGGUCAAUGGCCGGGAGGCUGAACCAGCCAAGUCGCGUGAGGGAAGACGGCCCUACGGGUUGUAAACCUCUUUUGUCAGGGAGCAAGGUGCAGGUCGGGACCUGCUGUGAGAGUACCCGAAGAAAAAGCAUCGGCUAACUCCGUGCCAGCAGCCGCGGUAAUACGGAGGAUGCGAGCGUUAUCCGGAUUUAUUGGGUUUAAAGGGUGCGUAGGCGGACUGGAAAGUCAGCGGUAAAAUCGAGAGGCUCAACCUCUUUCCGCCGUUGAAACUGUCGGUCUUGAGUGGGCGAGAAGUAUGCGGAAUGCGUGGUGUAGCGGUGAAAUGCAUAGAUAUCACGCAGAACUCCGAUUGCGAAGGCAGCAUACCGGCGCCCGACUGACGCUGAGGCACGAAAGCGUGGGUAUCGAACAGGAUUAGAUACCCCUGUAGUC
rnacentral:rRNA from 1 species